rnacentral:lncRNA from 1 species
GGCUUUUUAUUUAAAACACCCUAGUGGACUUAUUCACUAACAUAAAAGGAAAAGACAAGAAGAGGGGAGGGGAGGAGGUGCAAUGACGCUUCUUCCUUCUCCCCCUUCUAUGGAGUUUUCCUUUAGGACUCACAGAGGGAGAGAGAGACUAGGGUUUUUUCUCUACCAAGCCCUGGCAGGUCCGAAGGCAGCUCGAGCUGGUGCGUGAGGGUGCUCUUAGUUCUGCCCUAUGCCUCAAGAUUGUCUUCUACGUGAAUUGAACCCAGGUGCACUGAAAGGGAGAGGGAGAAUUUGACCCAACUUUUUCACUGUGGUGCCACCCAUGUUGACUGGUAUUUAGUCUAUAAAUAUAUAUUGAGCUCGAUGUCAUGGAUUUAUUUUAUACCUUUUGUUUCUAUAAAUGAGUGUUUGCUCUGAUUUAUCUAUUACUAGAGUUCUCUCUUAAUUUGUGA